AGUAUGGUACUGGUAUACGUUAAACGAAGUUGAUGCAACAAUCUGACGUUGUGUGUCUCUUGUAUGGGUCUUUCUUCGAUGGGCUUUUUUCCAGGAGGCGUUUAAGGUUUCGUUUGCUGGAAGCAAUAUAACAGAUGAAUCUUUCAUUUCAAAUAUUACCUAUGUUAUUUAAACAAAUUUGUUCUUCCUUGCUAAUUCGCAUUCAAAUCAUCAUGAACUAUCAAAAAUUAGGCUCUGCAAGACCACCAAUUCGUCCGAAAUGUUUUGAUGCCCAGAUUUUGUAAUCACAUGUUUAGAAUGUGCUAUCUUCGUUUUUAGGGAGGUCAUUAACAUUUGUGCCAAAGGGAGACAUCAUUCAACUAAAAGAUGAUGAAAGAUUGGAUAUGGAUGCAUAUUUGAAAGAUUUUUACUUGCAUAAAGAUUUGCAAAACUAUGACAAAAACUCACCUUGAAAUUUGAAGUAUGUUGAGCAAUAAUUUUGCUUUAAUAAUAAUUUCGUCGUUCCUUAAAGUACAUCAUAGACAAUUUAUCGAUUUUACCUGAAAAAUG